CUGCGGCAGCUUACCAUGCAAGUCGAGCGGUAACAGGGGGUGCUUGCACCCCGCUGACGAGCGGCGGACGGGUGAGUAAUGCAUAGGAAUCUGCCCAGUAGUGGGGGAUAGCCCGGGGAAACCCGGAUUAAUACCGCAUACGCCCUUUGGGGGAAAGCAGGGGAUCUUCGGACCUUGCGCUAUUGGAUGAGCCUAUGUCGGAUUAGCUAGUUGGUGGGGUAAAGGCCUACCAAGGCGACGAUCCGUAGCUGGUCUGAGAGGAUGAUCAGCCACAUCGGGACUGAGACACGGCCCGAACUCCUACGGGAGGCAGCAGUGGGGAAUAUUGGACAAUGGGGGCAACCCUGAUCCAGCCAUGCCGCGUGUGUGAAGAAGGCUUUCGGGUUGUAAAGCACUUUCAGUGAGGAGGAAAACCUUCUGGUUAAUACCCAUGAGGCUUGACGUUACUCACAGAAGAAGCACCGGCUAACUCCGUGCCAGCAGCCGCGGUAAUACGGAGGGUGCAAGCGUUAAUCGGAAUUACUGGGCGUAAAGCGCGCGUAGGUGGUUUGAUAAGCGAGAUGUGAAAGCCCCGGGCUUAACCUGGGAACGGCAUUUCGAACUGUCAGGC
rnacentral:rRNA from 1 species